rnacentral:rRNA from 1 species
GACGAACGCUGGCGGCGUGCUUAACACAUGCAAGUCGAACGGAAAGGCCCUGCUUUUGUGGGGUGCUCGAGUGGCGAGCGGGUGAGUAACACGUGAGUAACCUGCCCUUGACUUUGGGAUAACUUCAGGAAACUGGGGCUAAUACCGGAUAGGAGCUCCUGCUGCAUGGUGGGGGUUGGAAAGUUUCGGCGGUUGGGGAUGGACUCGCGGCUUAUCAGCUUGUUGGUGGGGUAGUGGCUUACCAAGGCUUUGACGGGUAGCCGGCCUGAGAGGGUGACCGGCCACAGUGGGACUGAGAUACGGCCCAGACUCCUACGGGAGGCGGCAGUGGGGAAUAUUGCACAAUGGGCGGAAGCCUGAUGCAGCAACGCCGCGUGCGGGAUGACGGCCUUCGGGUUGUAAACCGCUUUCGCCUGUGACGAAGCGUGAGUGACGGUAAUGGGUAAAGAAGCACCGGCUAACUACGUG